UCUAUGCCAUAUCACCCCGAAUAUGCCAGAUCUCAUCUGAUCUCGAAAGCUAAGCAGGGUCAAGCCUGGUGAGUACUUGCAGAGGAGAACUGAAGCAUUUAGGA
rnacentral:rRNA from 1 species